UAGGGAAUCUUCGGUAAUGGACGGAAGUCUGACCGAGCAACGCCGCGUGAGUGAAGAAGGUUUUCGGAUCGUAAAGCUCUGUUGUAAGAGAAGAACGAGUGUGAGAGUGGAAAGUUCACACUGUGACGGUAUCUUACCAGAAAGGGACGGCUAACUACGUGCCAGCAGCCGCGGUAAUACGUAGGUCCCGAGCGUUGUCCGGAUUUAUUGGGCGUAAAGCGAGCGCAGGCGGUUAGAUAAGUCUGAAGUUAAAGGCUGUGGCUUAACCAUAGUACGCUUUGGAAACUGUUUAACUUGAGUGCAAGAGGGGAGAGUGGAAUUCCAUGUGUAGCGGUGAAAUGCGUAGAUAUAUGGAGGAACACCGGUGGCGAAAGCGGCUCUCUGGCUUGUAACUGACGCUGAGGCUCGAAAGCGUGGGGAGCAAACAGGAUUAGAUACCCUGGUAGUCCACGCCGUAACGAUGAGUGCUAGGUGUUAGACCCUUUCCGGGGUUUAGUGCCGUAGCUAACGCAUUAAGCACUCCGCCUGGGGAGUACGACCGCAAGGUUG
rnacentral:rRNA from 1 species